GCGCGAAAACUUUACACUGCGGGAAACCGCGAUAAGGGGAUACCGAGUGCUAGCAUCAUAUGUUGGCUGUCCACAUGUCUAAAUCGCAUGUGUUAGCAAGGGCCGGGCAAGACCGGUGCCAGCCGCCGCGGUAACACCGGCGGCCCGAGUGGUGACCAUUAUUAUUGGGUCUAAAGGGUCCGUAGCCGGUUUGGUCAGUCUUCCGGGAAAUCUGACAGCUCAACUGUUAGGCUUCCGGGGGAUACUGCCAGACUUGGGACCGGAAGAGGUAAGAGGUACCACGGGGGUAGGAGUGAAAUCUUGUAAUCCCUGUGGGACCACCAGUGGCGAAGGCGUCUUACUAGAACGGGUCCGACGGUGAGGGACGAAAGCUGGGGGCACGAACCGG
rnacentral:rRNA from 1 species